GAUGAACGCUAGCGGCAGGCCUAAUACAUGCAAGUCGAACGGUGUCUUCGGACAUAGUGGCGCACGGGUGCGUAACACGUAUGCAACCUACCUUACAUUGGGGGAUAGCCUUUCGAAAGGGAGAUUAAUACCGCAUAAGACAGUAGCUGGGCAUCCAGCAGCUGUUAAAGAUUUAUCGAUGUAAGCUGGGCAUGCGUCCAAUUACCUAGUUGGUGAGGUAACGGCUAACCAAGGCAAUGAUUGGUAGGGGAACUGAGAGGUCAAUCCCCCACACUGGCACUGAGAUACGGGCCAGACUCCUACGGGAGGCAGCAGUAGGUAAUAGUGGGCAAUGGACGCAAGUCUGACCCAGCCAUGCCGCGUGCAGGAUGAAGGCGUUAUGCGUUGUAAACUGCUUUUAUACAGGAAGAAACGACUCUUGCGAGAGGCAUUGACGGUACUGUAUGAAUAAGCACCGGCUAACUCCGUGCCAGCAGCCGCCGUAA
rnacentral:rRNA from 1 species